CGUAAAACUAAAGUUUUAUAAAGCCAAAAUAUGGAAUUGAAGAGGGUGAUACAGUAAUACUUCAUUGCACUGUCAAUUCGAAGCACGCAAUAAAAGUUACGCCAACAAUGGUCAACAUCAAGAGCGAAACCAUUGAAUAUAUAUUUCAAACCUCACACAGCGCGUUAAAGAUACGCAACCUAAUUGGUGUUACUUAUGGUAGCAACGUAAAACUUUCGAAUCAAUAGAAUAUAUACUGCAAGCAAAUCCAGAACUAUGGAUGCUAACGCUGCUACAUCGAACACAAAUCAUUUACACACCAGAUAUUAGGUUUAAUGUCACUUUAUUAAACCUUUUGGUCAACACAAGCACGUGAAGAAUUGGAACGACAUGGUUUGGGUACUUUUGUAACCGUUUAUCAUAGCGUGUGUCAACUGGGUUUUGCCAAUGAGCUAGAGGGCAAAGCAGUUGCAGUACUUUUGGACUUACCGGCACCUCAGUUGGCCGUGCCAUUAGCAGCUAAAACACAGAAAUUAAAGGGAGGACUUUAUUGAUUCAUUUUCACCUUGUAUUGAGGAAUCAUAACGUUGUUGUGUCGCUUUACAUGGAUUCACCGAAAUUAGUUCAAUGGAAAUUCUAAAGCAAGAGCAUGGAUGUUAAGACUAGAACGUUGGCCGUGCUAGAUUUAGCAUUCCUGAAACAUAAGAAACUGGCUUUUCACCGAAGAAUUCGCCUGUUUUGCAGGUUGGUAAUACAAGGGAAUUCCCCGAGCAUUAGUUAGCCGCACGAUAACAACUGAGACCAACUUAGGUGGCGAACACUCAACAUAUGCAUUCUUUGCGCUCCCAUUCUCUCAAUGUUUUGCACAAGCUCAGAGAGCACUCUCUGAUCACCAACACUGACUGUGCAAAUUUUGGUAUUAUUUGCCCAGGUGUUGCCAGAUCACUCAAAUUAGCUAAAUAAAUUUACAUUUUAUUAUCAGAAAUUUGUGACAUAAGUAAAUGGUUCAUAUACAUAUUUAUUUUAUUUAUUUUUGUAUAAGUUUUAGAGUAAAGAAAUUAUUGUGGCAAUUAUCAUGGUAAUAAAAAUACACACCGCACUGAAAUGUCUUGAA